CGACAUCCAGAGAACUUAGCAGAGAUGCUUUGGUGCCUUCGGGAACUCUGAGACAGGUGCUGCAUGGCUGUCGUCAGCUCGUGUUGUGAAAUGUUGGGUUAAGUCCCGNAACCGAGCGCAACCCUUAUCCUUUGUUGCCAGCGGUUCGGCCGGGAACUCAAAGGAGACUGCCGGUGAUAAACCGGAGGAAGGUGGGGAUGACGUCAAGUCAUCAUGGCCCUUACGGCCAGGGCUACACACGUGCUACAAUGGCGCAUACAAAGAGAAGCGACCUCGCGAGAGCAAGCGGACCUCAUAAAGUGCGUCGUAGUCCGGAUUGGAGUCUGCAACUCGACUCCAUGAAGUCGGAAUCGCUAGUAAUCGUAGAUCAGAAUGCUACGGUGAAUACGUUCCCGGGCCUUGUACACACCGCCCGUCACACCAUGGGAGUGGGUUGCAAAAGAAGUAGGUAGCUUAACCUUCGGGAGGGCGCUUACCACUUUGUGAUUCAUGACUGGGGUGAAGUCGUAACAAGGUAAGCGUAGCGAG
rnacentral:rRNA from 1 species